UGGGAUAGCAUCUUCAUCCUAACUCCUAUGAGAUUUAUUCAACUUCCUGGUGAUUCUCCACUACUUUAUGUAUCAAAAUCAAGCUUCUUACACCGCGAUUCAUCCUGGUUUGAUUAGAAUGACGAAGAAGUUGUUAUAUUCCCAAACAGGAAAACUGGGAUCACCUGAUUUGAAAGUGGGAUAGCUUCUUCAUCCUAACUCCUAUGAGAUUUAUUCAAUUUCCUGGUGAUUCUCCACUACUUUAUGUAUCGAAAUCAAGAUUCUUACAUCGCGAUUCAUCCUGGUUUGAUUAGAAUGACAAAGUAGUUGUCAUAUUCCCAAACAGGAAAACUGGGAUCACCUGAUUUGAAAGUAGGAUAGCUUCUUCUUACUAACUCCUAUGAGAUUUAUUCAACUUCCUGGUGAUUCUCCACUACUUUAUGUAUCGAAAUCAAGAUUCUUACAUCGCGAUUCAUUCUGGUUUGAUUAGAAUGACGAAGGAGUUGUCAUAUUCCCAAACAGGAAAACUGGGAUCACCUUAUUAGAAAGUGGGAUAGCUUCUUCAUCCUAACUCCUAUGAGAUUUAUUCAACUUCCUGGUGAUUCUCCACUACUUUAUGUAUCAAAAUAAAGCUUCUUACAUCGCGAUUGAUCCUGGUUUGAUUAGAAUGACAAUGACGUUGUCAUUUUAGAAACAAGAAAACUGGGAUCACCUGAUUUGAAUGUGGGAUAGCUUCUUCAUCCUAACUCCUAUGAGAUUUUUUUAACUUCCUUGUGAUUCUCCACUACUUUAUGUAUCAAAAUCAAGCUUCUUACAUCGCGAUUCAUCCUGGUUUGAUUAGAAUGAUGAAGAAGUUGUCAUAUUCUCAAACAGGAAAACUGGGAUCACCUUAUUAGAAAGUGGGAUAGCUUCUUCAUCCUAACUCCUAUGAGAUUUAUUCAACUUCCUGGUGAUUCUCCACCACUUUAUGUAUCAAAAUAAAGCUUCUAACAUCGCGAUUCAUCGUGGUUUGAUUAGAAUAACAAAGAAGUUGUCAUUUUCCCAAACAGGAAAAUUGGGAUCACCUGAUUUGAAAGUGUGAUAGCUUCUUCAUCCUAACUCCUAUGAGAUUUAUUCAACUUCC
rnacentral:lncRNA from 1 species